AACGAACGCUGGCGGCGCGCCUAAUACAUGCAAGUCGAGCGAGAAGGUGUAGCAAUACACUUGUAAAGCGGCGAACGGGUGAGGAAUACAUGGGUAACCUACCCUCGAGUGGGGAAUAACUAGCCGAAAGGUUAGCUAAUACCGCGUACGCUUCCGGAACUGCGGUUCCGGAAGGAAAGCGAUACUGUGAGUAUCGCGCUCUUGGAUGGGCUCAUGUCCUAUCAGCUUGNGGUGAGGUAACGGCUCACCAAGGCUUCGACGGGUAGCUGGUCUGAGAGGACGAUCAGCCACACUGGCACUGCGACACGGGCCAGACUCCUACGGGAGGCAGCAGUAAGGAAUAUUGCGCAAUGGACGACAGUCUGACGCAGCGACGCCGCGUGGGGGACGAAGGUCUUCGGAUUGUAAACCCC
rnacentral:rRNA from 1 species